rnacentral:rRNA from 1 species
UGACCUCGAUCAGGUAGGAAUACCCGCUGAACUUAAGCAUAUCAAUAAGCGGAGGA